UCCUCAGGUAAAGCAGGGAAUAAUAUCCUGAAAGGGCUCCAGAAACAGUCAGGAUGAUCCACAAUCCAAACAAGUAGAGAUUUAAGAAGCCAAGAGUCAUAAACAGGGGUAGGAGGCAGACUACUUAGCUGGGGCAGGCGAAUAUCCGUGGUCGUUCCAAAACAGGUCAAAAUCCAGGAGAGCACAAGGCAGGAGCAGUCCGACAGGAGAUGAGGCAAGAGAAGUCCAAGGGCCGUAACUGGGCCUUCACAAGUG